CAGUCGCCGCGGUAAGACAGAGGAUGCAAGCGUUAUCCGGAAUGAUUGGGCGUAAAGCGUGCGUAGGUGGUGGUUUAAGUCCGUUGUGAAAGCCCUGGGCUCAACCUGGGAAUUGCAGUGGAUACUGGGUCACUAGAGUGUGGUAGAGGAUAGUGGAAUUUCCGGUGUAGCAGUGAAAUGCGUAGAGAUCGGAAGGAACAUCUGUGGCGAAGGCGACUAUCUGGGCCAACACUGACACUGAGGCACGAAAGCGUGGGGAGCAAACAGGAUUAGAUACCCCAGUAGUCCCUGUCUCUUAAAC
rnacentral:rRNA from 1 species